rnacentral:rRNA from 1 species
GACGAACGCUGGCGGCGUGCUUAACACAUGCAAGUCGAACGGAAAGGCCCAGCUUGCUGGGUGCUCGAGUGGCGAACGGGUGAGUAACACGUGGGUGAUCUGCCCCUAACUUCGGGAUAAGCUUGGGAAACUGGGUCUAAUACCGGAUAGGACAAUCGUUUAGUGUCGGUUGUGGAAAGUUUUUUCGGUUAGGGAUGAGCCCGCGGCCUAUCAGCUUGUUGGUGGGGUAAUGGCCUACCAAGGCGUCGACGGGUAGCCGGCCUGAGAGGGUGGACGGCCACAUUGGGACUGAGAUACGGCCCAGACUCCUACGGGAGGCAGCAGUGGGGAAUAUUGCACAAUGGGCGCAAGCCUGAUGCAGCGACGCCGCGUGGGGGAUGACGGCCUUCGGGUUGUAAACCUCUUUCGACAGGGACGAAGCUUUGGUGACGGUACCUGUAUAAGAAGCGCAGGCUAACUACGUG